GACGAACGCUGGCGGCGUGCUUAACACAUGCAAGUCGAACGGCAAGGCCCUGCUUUUGUGGGGUGCCCGAGUGGCGAACGGGUGAGUAACACGUGAGUAACCUGCCCUUGACUUUGGGAUAACUUCAGGAAACUGGGGCUAAUACCGGAUAGGAGCUCCUGCUGCAUGGUGGGGGGUGGAAAGUUUCGGCGGUUGGGGAUGGACUCGCGGCUUAUCAGCUUGUUGGUGGGGUAGUGGCUUACCAAGGCUUUGACGGGUAGCCGGCCUGAGAGGGUGACCGGCCACAUUGGGACUGAGAGACGGACCAGACUCCUACGGGAGGCAGCAGGGGGGAAUAUUGCACAAUGGGCGGAAGCCUGAUGCAGCGACGCCGCGUGCGGGAUGACGGCCUUCUGGUUGUAAACCGCUUUCGCCUGUGACGAAGCGUGAGUGACGGUAAUGGAUGAAGAAGCACCGGCUAACUACGUG
rnacentral:rRNA from 1 species